rnacentral:rRNA from 1 species
UACGAAGGGGGCUAGCGUUACUCGGAUUGACUGGGCGUAAAGGGCGCGUAGGCGGUUCGUACAGUCAGACGUGAAAUUCCUGGGCUCAACCUGGGGGCUGCGUUUGAUACGUGCGGGCUUGAGUUCGGAAGAGGGUCGUGGAAUUCCCAGUGUAGAGGUGAAAUUCGUAGAUAUUGGGAAGAACACCGGUGGCGAAGGCGGCGACCUGGUCCGAUGACUGACGCUGAGGCGCGAAGGCGUGGGGAGCGAACGGG